CCUACGGGCGGCAGCAGUGAGGAAUAUUGGUCAAUGGGCGCGAGCCUGAACCAGCCAAGUCGCGUGAGGGAAGACGGUCCUAUGGAUUGUAAACCUCUUUUGUCGGGGAGCAAAAGACGCCACGCGUGGCGUUCCGAGAGUACCCGAAGAAAAAGCAUCGGCUAACUCCGUUCCAGCAGCAGAGGGAAUACGGAGGAUGCGGGCGUUAUCCGGAUUUAUUAGGUUUAAAAGGUGCGCGGGCGGAAGUUAAAGUCAGCGGUAAAAUUUCGGGGUCCAACCUCUUCGAGCCGUUGAGACUGGUUUUCUUGAGUGAGUGAGAAGUAUGCGGAAUGCGUGGUGUAGCGGGGAAAUGCAUAGAUAUCACGCAGAACUCCGAUUGCGAAGGCAGCAUACCGGCGCUCAACUGACGCUCAUGCACGAAAGUGUGGGUAUCGAACAGGAUUAGAUACCCCUGUAGUC
rnacentral:rRNA from 1 species